UUAAGCGACUAAGCGUACACGGUGGAUGCCCUGGCAGUCAGAGGCGAUGAAGGACGUGCUAAUCUGCGAAAAGCGUCGGUAAGGUGAUAUGAACCGUUACAGCCGGCGAUGUCCGAAUGGGGAAACCCAGUGCAAUUCGUUGCACUAUCGUUAACUGAAUACAUAGGUUAACGAGGCGAACCGGGGGAACUGAAACAUCUAAGUACCCCGAGGAAAAGAAAUCAACCGAGAUUCCCCCAGUAGCGGCGAGCGAACGGGGAGCAGCCCAGAGUCUGAAUCAGCUUGUGUGUUAGUGGAACGGUCUGGAAAGUCCGACGGUACAGGGUGAUAGUCCCGUACACCAAAAUGCACAGGCUGUGAACUCGAAGAGUAGGGCGGGACACGUGGUAUCCUGUCUGAAUAUGGGGGGACCAUCCUCCAAGGCUAAAUACUCCUGACUGACCGAUAGUGAACCAGUACCGUGAGGGAAAGGCGAAAAGAACCCCGGCGAGGGGAGUGAAAAAGAACCUGAAACCGUGUACGUACAAGCAGUGGGAGCACCUUCGGGUGUGACUGCGUACCUUUUGUAUAAUGGGUCAGCGACUUAUAUUCUGUAGCAAGGUUAACCGUAUAGGGGAGCCGCAGGGAAACCGAGUCUUAACUGGGCGUUAAGUUGCAGGGUAUAGACCCGAAACCCGGUGAUCUAGCCAUGGGCAGGUUGAAGGUUGGGUAACACUAACUGGAGGACCGAACCGACUAAUGUUGAAAAAUUAGCGGAUGACUUGUGGCUGGGGGUGAAAGGCCAAUCAAACCGGGAGAUAGCUGGUUCUCCCCGAAAGCUAUUUAGGUAGCGCCUCGUGAAUUCAUCUUCGGGGGUAGAGCACUGUUUCGGCUAGGGGGUCAUCCCGACUUACCAACCCGAUGCAAACUACGAAUACCGAAGAAUGUUAUCACGGGAGACACACGGCGGGUGCUAACGUCCGUCGUGAAGAGGGAAACAACCCAGACCGCCAGCUAAGGUCCCAAAGUCAUGGUUAAGUGGGAAACGAUGUGGGAAGGCACAGACAGCCAGGAUGUUGGCUUAGAAGCAGCCAUCAUUUAAAGAAAGCGUAAUAGCUCACUGGUCGAGUCGGCCUGCGCGGAAGAUGUAACGGGGCUAAACCAUGCACCGAAGCUGCGGCAGCGACACUAUGUGUUGUUGGGUAGGGGAGCGUUCUGUAAGCCUGCGAAGGUGACCUGUGAGGGUUGCUGGAGGUAUCAGAAGUGCGAAUGCUGACAUAAGUAACGAUAAAGCGGGUGAAAAGCCCGCUCGCCGGAAGACCAAGGGUUCCUGUCCAACGUUAAUCGGGGCAGGGUGAGUCGACCCCUAAGGCGAGGCCGAAAGGCGUAGUCGAUGGGAAACAGGUUAAUAUUCCUGUACUUGGUGUUACUGCGAAGGGGGGACGGAGAAGGCUAUGUUAGCCGGGCGACGGUUGUCCCGGUUUAAGCAUGUAGGCUGGUUAUCCAGGCAAAUCCGGAUAAUCAAGGCUGAGGUGUGAUGACGAGGCACUACGGUGCUGAAGUAACAAAUGCCCUGCUUCCAGGAAAAGCCUCUAAGCAUCAGGUAACAUUAAAUCGUACCCCAAACCGACACAGGUGGUCAGGUAGAGAAUACCAAGGCGCUUGAGAGAACUCGGGUGAAGGAACUAGGCAAAAUGGUGCCGUAACUUCGGGAGAAGGCACGCUGGUGUGUAGGUGAAGUCCCUGCGGAUGGAGCUGAGACCAGUCGAAGAUACCAGCUGGCUGCAACUGUUUAUUAAAAACACAGCACUGUGCAAACACGAAAGUGGACGUAUACGGUGUGACGCCUGCCCGGUGCCGGAAGGUUAAUUGAUGGGGUUAUCCGUAAGGAGAAGCUCUUGAUCGAAGCCCCGGUAAACGGCGGCCGUAACUAUAACGGUCCUAAGGUAGCGAAAUUCCUUGUCGGGUAAGUUCCGACCUGCACGAAUGGCGUAAUGAUGGCCAGGCUGUCUCCACCCGAGACUCAGUGAAAUUGAACUCGCUGUGAAGAUGCAGUGUACCCGCGGCAAGACGGAAAGACCCCGUGAACCUUUACUAUAGCUUGACACUGAACAUUGAGCCUUGAUGUGUAGGAUAGGUGGGAGGCUUUGAAGCGUGGACGCCAGUCUGCGUGGAGCCAACCUUGAAAUACCACCCUUUAAUGUUUGAUGUUCUAACGUUGGCCCCUUACCGGGGUUGCGGACAGUGUCUGGUGGGUAGUUUGACUGGGGCGGUCUCCUCCCAAAGCGUAACGGAGGAGCACGAAGGUUAGCUAAUCCUGGUCGGACAUCAGGAGGUUAGUGCAAUGGCAUAAGCUAGCUUGACUGCGAGCGUGACGGCGCGAGCAGGUGCGAAAGCAGGUCAUAGUGAUCCGGUGGUUCUGAAUGGAAGGGCCAUCGCUCAACGGAUAAAAGGUACUCCGGGGAUAACAGGCUGAUACCGCCCAAGAGUUCAUAUCGACGGCGGUGUUUGGCACCUCGAUGUCGGCUCAUCACAUCCUGGGGCUGAAGUAGGUCCCAAGGGUAUGGCUGUUCGCCAUUUAAAGUGGUACGCGAGCUGGGUUUAGAACGUCGUGAGACAGUUCGGUCCCUAUCUGCCGUGGGCGCUGGAGAAUUGAGGGGGGCUGCUCCUAGUACGAGAGGACCGGAGUGGACGCAUCACUGGUGUUCGGGUUGUCAUGCCAAUGGCACUGCCCGGUAGCUAAAUGCGGAAGAGAUAAGUGCUGAAAGCAUCUAAGCACGAAACUUGCCCCGAGAUGAGUUCUCCCUGAGACUUUAAGUCUCCUGAAGGAACGUUAAAGACGAUGACGUUGAUAGGCCGGGUGUGUAAGCGCAGCGAUGCGUUGAGCUAACCGGUACUAAUGAACCGUGAGGCUUAACCUU
rnacentral:rRNA from 1 species